UAGGGAAUAUUGGUCAAUGGGUGAGAGCCUGAACCAGCCAUGCCGCGUGCAGGAAGACGGCCUUCUGGGUUGUAAACUGCUUUUAUCUGGGGAUAAAAAGCCCAUGCGUGGGACAUUGAAGGUACCAGAUGAAUAAGCACCGGCUAACUACGUGCCAGCAGCCGCGGUAAUACGUAGGGUGCAAGCGUUGUCCGGAUUUAUUGGGUUUAAAGGGUGCGUAGGCGGUCUAUUAAGUCAGUGGUGAAAUCCAACAGCUCAACUGUUGAUGUGCCAAUGAUACUGAUGGACUUGAGUACAGUCGAGGUAGGCGGAAUUGACAGUGUAGCGGUGAAAUGCAUAGAUAUUGUCAAGACACCGAUAGCGAAGGCAGCUUGCUAGCCUGUAACUGACGCUGAGGCACGA
rnacentral:rRNA from 1 species